rnacentral:rRNA from 1 species
ACUCAAAUGAAUUGACGGGGGCCCGCACAAGCAGCGGAGCGUGUGGUUUAAUUCGACGCAACGCGCAGAACCUUACCCAGACUUGACAUGCAACUGCAAGCCCGUGAAAGCGGGUCGCCCUUGAGGGUGUUGCACAGAUGCUGCAUGGCUGUCGUCAGCUCGUGUCGUGAGAUGUUGGGUUAAGUCCCGCAACGAGCGCAACCCCCGCGGUCAGUUAUUCGUGUCUGACCGGACUGCCCUUCGGGGAGGAAGGCGGGGAUGACGUCAAGUCCGCAUGGCUCUUACGUCUGGGGCGACACACACGCUACAAUGGCGCCGACAGCGCGCAGCGACCGUGCAAGCGGAAGCGAAUCGCCAAACGGCGCCUCAGUGCAGAUCGGGGGCUGCAACUCGCCCCCGUGAAGGCGGAGUUGCUAGUAACCGCGUAUCAGCCACGGCGCGGUGAAUACGUACCCGGGCCUUGUACACACCGCCCGU